CCCGCUGAACUUAAGCAUAUCAAUAAGCGGAGGAAAAGAAACCAACAGGGAUUGCCCCAGUAACGGCGAGUGAAGCGGCAACAGCUCAAAUUUGAAAUCUGGCCCCCCGGCCCGAGUUGUAAUUUGCAGAGGAUGCUUUUGGUGAGGCACCUACCGAGUCCCCUGGAAUGGGGCGCCAUAGAGGGUGAGAGCCCCGUAUGGUAGGACGCCGAACCUCUGUAAAGCUCCUUCGACGAGUCGAGUAGUUUGGGAAUGCUGCUCUAAAUGGGAGGUAAAUUUCUUCUAAAGCUAAAUACCGGCCAGAGACCGAUAGCGCACAAGUAGAGUGAUCGAAAGAUGAAAAGCACUUUGAAAAGAGGGUUAAAAAGUACGUGAAAUUGUUGAAAGGGAAGCGCUUGUGACCAGACUUGCGCCGGGCGGAUCAUCCAGCGUUCUCGCUGGUGCACUCCGCCCGGUUCAGGCCAGCAUCGGUUUUCGCCGGGGGACAAAGGCUUCGGGAACGUGGCUCCUUUCGGGGAGUGUUAUAGCCCGUUGCGUAAUACCCCGGCGGGGACCGACGACCGCGCUUCGGCAAGGAUGCUGGCGUAAUGGUCAUCAGCGACCCGUCUUGGAACACGGACCGAGGAGUCAAGCAUUAGUGCGAG
rnacentral:rRNA from 1 species